rnacentral:rRNA from 1 species
GAAUGCUGACAUAAGUAACGAUAAAGCGGGUGAAAAGCCCGCUCGCCGGAAGACCAAGGGUUCCUGUCCAACGUUAAUCGGGGCAGGGUGAGUCGACCCCUAAGGCGAGGCCGAAAGGCGUAGUCGAUGGGAAACGGGUUAAUAUUCCCGUACUUGGUGUUACUGCGAAGGGGGGACGGAGAAGGCUAUGUUGGCCGGGCGACGGUUGUCCCGGUUUAAGCGUGUAGGUGUGUGUUCCAGGUAAAUCCGGUUCACUUUAACACUGAGGCGUGAUGACGAGGCACUACGG